GUUACAACUAAAAGUUGUAAACUCUUGUUGUUGAAAUGUGUUGUGCUUAAAUAAGCUUGUUAUGUAAUUAAUAUUAUUACAUGUGUAUUUGUCGCCAUCAUGUGGUCAUGGCAGUUAAUACAUCUUUGAGAAGUGUGUAUUUUGAAUCAAACUUUAUUGACCGGAAGUUACAUAAGCCAAGCAGAGAAAUCUCCGGUUCCAGCACGUACUUUAUGGUGGUUAUUUUCGAAGAAAAACUGCAUAUAUCCUUUGUUUAAGGUUGCAUCGCCGUUUCACCCUUUUGAAUGUCAUUAAACCUGCUGACAACGCUCA